CAUGAACAGUUUUCUACGGUUACAAAGUUAGAAUGUGUUUAAACUAUGCAUUGAACUAUGGAGAUAACUCAAUAGUGUGCUUAAUGUACAUGAGGUCAUACAUAUGUAUUUCAAAAUAAUAUAGAAUGGAUUUAACAACGAGUUCUGUUUGUUCGAGUAAAUGAGGUAAUACUAUUAAGCUAAGAACAAUAUCUGAAAUAGACUUAACAUGUCGGACAGACUGGAUGACAACUAUCACACACCGGAAGAGACUCUGUUGGAGGCGGCGUCAGGUAGAGACAUUCCCAUUAUAGUCCGCUUCAAAGAGACGUAUCAAAACAAGGAUUAUGACGACUCCGGUUGGUUUGAGGAUGGCUUAGAGAUAAUGGUCGAAGGGGUUCGCACGAUCGCGUACGCCCGAAUUCGGGUUUUAGCCGUACAUAACGAGAAAGAGGCGCAGAAUGCACACUAUGACGAUUUCGUGGCAGAGAGGCAAAUGUUAUUGGGCCAGGUGUACCUUAUGCCUAUGAACGUCCCUGUGAAAUUGAAACUUGUCACCAGACCAGGAAAACCAAUAACGUAUACUUCAAUCGCCCAGGUGAUACAAGAUAUGCCGACGAAGCUUCUGGUCCACCAAGAUGUGAUUUCGAUCCCGCUCAGCGGCGGUCAUAACACUUUGUUUCCGACCAACACGGUACUCACAGUUAAGCGCGUGUUUACGUGCUCUAUCGACAAGGUGCAAUAGCUCCUGUGCUCGUUCUAAUUGCAGCACGUGUCAUUCAAGGACACCUUACGCGGCCAGUUCAGCGCCAUCGGCGACGACUCUCUUUACACAAUGCGCUACUUGCAGAUGACCAACGUGUUUCACGCUGUAUUCGAGUUUCAGCAUCCCAAACCGGACGACGUUGUGCACUACGUCAACUACGAUGCCAAUGCUGCGCUCACAAUUGCGGAAGGUCCGCUGGAGCUGCUGGGUACAGAACACCUAAACGUUGUCAUCGCCUGAAAACGCCAACACGAAGCAAAAUCUUACAGUACGUUGGUCAUACCGGAGACUCGCGCAAAGACGCCGAUGGUUCAGGAACGUCAUUUUGAUGAAAAAUUUACUAAGAACAACUAUAUUCAAAGAAAGUUUACGGCUUGUAAACAUCUGGAUUUUGUCUCCGACAAGUUGUAUAUAAUACCACAGGAUCCACCGAACGCUGUGUGUCUGAAAAGUCCAAAUCUUUUCUUCUACGACCCAAAAGCAUGUCGACUCCGCGUGGCAAAAGACGGCAUUACAUUCAAUCCCUCAACAGAUGAAGAAUCAUACGACAGCGACUACACGGAAAUAGCGCCCCCCUAUCCCAGAACAGAUUCCAUCGAGUAAAUCCAACUCAAAGUCUCCGACUGAGGCAUACUCCACAUUAACAUUAGCGCUCCAUCUACAAUUGGCAUAAAGACAUCUGACUCCAGCUCUUUGGCUGAGCCGCGCAGAGAAAUGCGCCCCCUGCCGGAAAUAGUUUCCACCCACAGCGACGAGGAUUAAGAUGAGUAUAUAAUUCCUUGUCACUCGGUACCUCCGCGACAUUGCCUAUCAGAUCCAAGUUGCCCUGCGCCACAUAGUCCGUCGCCGCCGAUUCCAAGCGACAUUAGCCAUGGCGACAAUUUGAUUGUUUCGAGCGCCCAUAUAAGCAACAACCCACUUUCGGCCUUCUGUCAAUCCCAACACGCCAAUGAAAAACAAGGGUAUGCGGCGAUAUCGCAGAUAGACAUGCAAAGUAUUCUGGGCCACGGAAGAACGUGUAAAGACUUUAACAACUUGUUCGUUAUUGAACUUUACCACCUGUUAAUGCACUGCAAUCUUCAGGACAUCGCUAACAUUUGCUACGAGGACCGUAUUGAUGGGAAGUUCUUCGCAAACGUAGAUGUUCAGGAUCUCCUUCAUGAUCAACCGUUCAGUGUCUCAAACAUUCAGAUACUGAAGUUUAAAAGGCUCCAGGAUGGAUGGCGUCCUUACGUUUCAUCAUAGAGCGUGUAUCAAUGUUACAUUAUGAGUCAAACUUACCGAGAUUAUAAUUACAAUAUUUGAUUGUUGCAGCAAGUGUAAUUAUCUUAAUAGUUAUAUAAUAAACGUCUUAAAAUCAUUUUUAUUAAUAAAUUGAUAAUGCAUCAAAUAGGGUUUUUUUAAAUGACAAAAUGGUAGUCCACACGUAUAUUUUUAUACGUAUAUCCUUUUCUGCCUCUAUACCAAUACAAUUAGGUAUGUUCUGUGCAAGUAGUCUUAAACAGUUAUACAAAUCAUGACUGUUGGAGAAUAUACGAUAAUAAACAAAAUUAAUUGAAUAAAUGUGUAUCGUUACGAUUAUUAUCGACA